rnacentral:rRNA from 1 species
AGAGUUUGAUCAUGGCUCAGGAUGAACGCUAGCUACAGGCUUAACACAUGCAAGUCGAGGGGAAACGACAUCGAAAGCUUGCUUUUGAUGGGCGUCGACCGGCGCACGGGUGAGUAACGCGUAUCCAACCUGCCCAUCACUUGGGGAUAACCUUGCGAAAGUAAGACUAAUACCCAAUGAUAUCUCUAGAAGACAUCUGAAAGAGAUUAAAGAUUUAUCGGUGAUGGAUGGGAUGCGUCUGAUUAGCUUGUUGGCGGGGUAACGGCCACCAAGGCUACGAUCAGUAGGGGUCUGAGAGGAAGGUCCCCCCAGAUUGGAACUGGANACACGGUCCAAAACGUUCCACGGGAGGCA